UGGGUUGUGGCUCAAAGGCAGAGCACUCCCCUAACAUGUGAGAGGCAUUGGGUUCGACCCUUAGCACCACAU
rnacentral:tRNA from 1 species